rnacentral:rRNA from 1 species
GUGGGGAAUCUUGCGCAAUGGGCGAAAGCCUGACGCAGCCAUGCCGCGUGGAUGAUGAAGGUCUUAGGAUUGUAAAAUCCUUUCACCGGUGAAGAUAAUGACUGUAGCCGGAGAAGAAGCCCCGGCUAACUUCGUGCCAGCAGCCGCGGUAAUACGAAGGGGGCUAGCGUUGCUCGGAUUUACUGGGCGUAAAGGGCGCGUAGGCGGACAUUUAAGUCAGGGGUGAAAUCCCGGGGCUCAACCUCGGAACUGCCUUUGAUACUGGGUGUCUUGAGUAUGAGAGAGGUGUGUGGAACUCCGAGUGUAGAGGUGAAAGUCGUAGAUAUUCGGAAGAACACCAGUGGCGAAGGCGACACACUGGCUCAUUACUGACGCUGAGGCGCGAAAGCGUGGGGAGCAAACAGGAUUAGAUACCCGAGUAGUCC